GUACUCGCUUCGGUGAUACAUAUACUAAAAUUGAUAACAAUACAGAGAAGGUCAGUAUGGCCCGUGUGCAAGAACGUCAUGUAAAUACCCCUGUUAAUCUCACUUGGU